CUCAAAAAAGUAAUCAUAAGGACACAAAUACCCUUACAAACCCACCAAACAAACAUAAAAGCACAGGGUCAGGAUCUAAUCCAUAUCCGUCUCUAUAUAUAAGGCCCCGUGGCCUCCCUGACAAACUCAAUCGGUUAUCUUUUCUCUCUGGUAGCUGUUUCUCCUAAGCAAAGCUAUCCCCGUCCUUCUUCUUUAUCAGCUGCAUUCAGCGCUUUCCCAAGAACUGGCUAACUCACAAGAAGUUCUGGCAGAAAUCACUGCACCAAAGCUACCAGCAUCAACAAAAAAGAACCAAGACGUGGUUCUUGCUUUCUAUGAAGCCUUAAAGUCACGUGACGUGGACACGGUACACAAGAUCCUAGCCCACGACCUUGAGUGGUGGUUCCAUGGCCCGCCGUCUCACCAGUUUAUGAUGCGCCUUCUUACUGGUGAACAAAAAGACAACGACGUGCCGUUUGAGUUCUCCCCUAUCUCCAUCACCUCUUUUGGAAACCUUGUGGUUGUUGAAGGGUGUAAUACAAGUCGUUCCAUUUCUUGGGUGCACGCUUGGACUGUUACGGAUGGGAUAAUUACCCAGGUUAGAGAGUACUUCAAUACUUCUCUUACUGUUACUCGUCUUGGAAAUCAAUCGCAACCGUCUGAUUUUAAGUCAAAGUCAAAUUCAUCAUCAACGCCCGAGAUAUCUCUGUUGCAUUGCCCAUCCAUCUGGGAGAGCACCCUAUCCAAUCGGGUCGGUAAGUCCGUGCCGGGUUUGGUUCUGGCUAUUUGAGCGGACUUUGUUCAGGUGCAUCCGGGAGUAUUGUAAUAUACAUGUAGUUUGGAAUAAAUAGGGUGCACACGUGUGUGUUUUGUGUGUCAAGAGAGAUGUGAGUCUCUUAGGUCUUGUUUGGUUUGGAUUGGUUUGGUUUUGAUUGUUGAAGUUGUGUGUGUGAAAAUAGUAGGAGUCGGCCUAGAUGGGGAGACCUGUUUGGUUAACACUACAUUUCCCUGUAAUUUGGUAUUUUAAUUGUGCAAUAAAGAUGUGGUACUGCGAUUUUCUUAUUUUAAGCUUCAUUCUUGUUCUAAUUUUUUUUUUUUUAGUUUAAUAUGGAUAUUCGGGCCAGCUUGCACGCACCUUAACUAAUCCCACAUGCUCUGAAGUUAACGACUAUGUGGAACUUUACUCGGCAUGGUUCGGAGGUGUUUUGCGCGCGUACACACACAUGCAUUGGUGCGUGUGUAUUAUGAGAAUUGGAAUGGAAACAGCACAUGCUCGUCGUUUUAUAAUAAUUAUUAAAUCAAGCGACUUAUUUUGCCGGGACGGGAGCACGGUCGGACAUGAUCUGUAACAGCUAAUACUUUCAAACUACACGGGGAGAGUAGGCCCGUUGUAUCAUAAACGUGCACACCCAUAUCAAGCAUUUUGGGGCAACAUUAUCAAAUUAUAAUUAUUUUUAUUUUUA